UUAUUUCCAUCAAGUUAAAUAUAUCAGAAAAGGAUGGGAACUGUGCUACAUGAUGUGCUACAAGCAGAAGCAGAAAAAAAGACUGUCCACAACUGGGGAAAGACGAUUUAUAACAACUGAAAAGGAUCAGAGAAGAGGAAAAAAGAAGAAAUAACACUCUGGGAUGCAGAACCAGAAGACCUGCCUCUCUGUAGUUCUGCAACUUUUUUACUAAGCCAGUCACUUUCACUACUGCAUCCUAUUGUUGAAGUUUUGUUGAUUUACAUUUGAGAAACAAGUUCUGUAGAGUUAAUGAAGGUAGCAGACUACUUGCCUCCUUUAGAUCAGACAUGACUUACAAUUCAUUGUUAUUUUUAAAACAACACUCAUAAUUCAAGUUCAAUGUUCCUAAGUCAUGCAGUUGGGACUCUGGGAGAAUGGUCUCUCCACAUUUCAUGGGAAAAUGACUUCUUAAAGGGGUCAGACAUUUAUUCUU
rnacentral:lncRNA from 1 species